rnacentral:rRNA from 1 species
AUUGAACGCUGGCGGCAUGCCUUACACAUGCAAGUCGAACGGCAGCACGGAGCUUGCUCUGGUGGCGAGUGGCGAACGGGUGAGUAAUAUAUCGGAACGUACCCUAGAGUGGGGGAUAACGUAGCGAAAGUUACGCUAAUACCGCAUACGAUCUAAGGAUGAAAGUGGGGGAUCGCAAGACCUCAUGCUCGUGGAGCGGCCGAUAUCUGAUUAGCUAGUUGGUAGGGUAAAAGCCUACCAAGGCAUCGAUCAGUAGCUGGUCUGAGAGGACGACCAGCCACACUGGAACUGAGACACGGUCCGGACUCCUACGGGAGGCAGCAGUGGGGAAUUUUGGACAAUGGGCGAAAGCCUGAUCCAGCAAUGCCGCGUGAGUGAAGAAGGCCUUCGGGUUGUAAAGCUCUUUUGUCAGGGAAGAAACGGUGAGAGCUAAUAUCUUUUGCUAAUGACGGUACCUGAAGAAUAAGCACCGGCUAACUACGUGCCAGCAGCCGCGGUAAUACGUAGGGUGCAAGCGUUAAUCGGAAUUACUGGGCGUAAAGCGUGCGCAGGCGGUUUUGUAAGUCUGAUGUGAAAUCCCCGGGCUCAACCUGGGAAUUGCAUUGGAGACUGCAAGGCUAGAAUCUGGCAGAGGGGGGUAGAAUUCCACGUGUAGCAGUGAAAUGCGUAGAUAUGUGGAGGAACACCGAUGGCGAAGGCAGC